AAUUGAUUGAUUGUUGGUUGCUUUAUGCCGCAUGAGCACAAAAAGGCUAUAUUGCAGCGAUGAAACAUAAUAAUAAUUUGACUUAAAAAAAAAAAAAAAAAAAAGAUAAUUUCACAUUUUAACCUUAUUUGAAAAUUCCCAUGACAUAAUAUUUUCAAUCAGUACAUGUAUAUAUGGCACAGCAAUUGAUAUUAUUGUGUACUGGUACCAACUGUUUCUAUCUUUGUUGUAACCAGUCUAAACUGAAACUUUUGUCAACAUUAUGCUUUUAAAUAAUUAAACACAUCAGCACAAGAGAAUUAAAUGAAAAUGUUCUAAGCAAUGAUUAAAACAAUUGAUGCAGCAGUAAUCAAAUGUAAACAAAACAAAAAGCAAGAUGUAAUCCGCUGAGUAAGGAUUUUCAGUAUAAAUAGAGAUAAAUUAAAUCUGAAGCUAUUUUCCCAAUGGAGAUAAAGAGUUGGACUAAAUUUAGUAGUGUGACGUCAAAGUAACACAUGUACCAGCAUUAUAAAUCCUAAAUUGAGCUUAACAUAUCAUGUUUGAG
rnacentral:lncRNA from 1 species